UGAUUCAUGACUGGGGUGAACUCGUAACAAGGUAACCGUAGGGGAACCUGCGGUUGGAUCACCUCCUUACCUUAAAGAA
rnacentral:rRNA from 1 species